rnacentral:rRNA from 1 species
AGAACUUAGCAGAGAUGCUUUGGUGCCUUCGGGAACUCUGAGACAGGUGCUGCAUGGCUGUCGUCAGCUCGUGUUGUGAAAUGUUGGGUUAAGUCCCGCAACGAGCGCAACCCUUAUCCUUUGUUGCCAGCGGUCCGGCCGGGAACUCAAAGGAGACUGCCAGUGAUAAACUGGAGGAAGGUGGGAUGACGUCAAGUCAUCAUGGCCCUUACGAGUAGGGCUACACACGUGCUACAAUGGCGCAUACAAAGAGAAGCGACCUCGCGAGAGCAAGCGGACCUCAUAAAGUGCGUCGUAGUCCGGAUUGGAGUCUGCAACUCGACUCCAUGAAGUCGGAAUCGCUAGUAAUCGUGGAUCAGAAUGCCACGGUGAAUACGUUCCCGGGCCUUGUACACACCGCCCGUCACACCAUGGGAGUGGGUUGCAAAAGAAGUAGGUAGCUUAACCUUCGGGAGGGCGCUUACCACUUUGUGAUUCAUGACUGGGGUGAAGUCGUAACAAGGUAAGCGUAGUGCU